UAUGGAGUUCUAUGUAUUAUGUAAAAUACAAAAUACAAGUGAAUUAAAUAUAGCCCUUUUGAGGUUUUGUGUCUGUAGAUGUAGGCUCUCCGUAGCUAAAACACGUAAAUCCUUCUCUUGCUACUUUUCCCCUAUCUUUUCUAUACUUCUAAAUUUCAACAGAUCUCAUCUUGAAUUACAUUAAAUAUUUUCAUUAAUACUGAUAGGUAUGCAACAUUCCAAUUUAAGCAAUAAUGUCCUUACUAGCCAACAUAUGCAAAUCAUAUUUCUCAAUGAUUUCCAAGAACUGUCAAGGAAUAUCCAGCACAAAGCAACCACCAAUGUGCUAUGAGAUUAUUUGAAUCCCCAUUUCAUAUAGAAAAUUAGAAUUUGAAAUUAUGAUAUCAAAGGUGUAGAGUUAAUUG
rnacentral:misc_RNA from 1 species